rnacentral:ribozyme from 1 species
GCUGCUCGAAUGAAUCACACACCUCUCCGUGGUGAGCAGUAGGCAACGUUUAUAUGGACGGCUGAGAUGUGAA